UACGUAGGGUGCGAGCGUUAAUCGGAAUUACUGGGCGUAAAGCGUGCGCAGGCGGUGAUGUAAGAACGAUGUGAAAUCCCCGGGCUUAACCUGGGAACUGCAUUGGUGACUGCAUCGCUUGAGUAUGGCAGAGGGGGGUAGAAUUCCACGUGUAGCAGUGAAAUGCGUAGAGAUGUGGAGGAAUACCGAUGGCGAAGGCAGCCCCCUGGGUCAAUACUGACGCUCAUGCACGAAAGCGUGGGGAGCAAACAGG
rnacentral:rRNA from 1 species